rnacentral:rRNA from 1 species
CCGGAGUGGACGCAUCACUGGUGUUCGGGUUGUCAUGCCAAUGGCACUGCCCGGUAGCUAAAUGCGGAAGAGAUAAGUGCUGAAAGCAUCUAAGCACGAAACUUGCCCCGAGAUGAGUUCUCCCUGAGACUUUAAGUCUCCUGAAGGAACGUUAAAGACGAUGACGUUGAUAGGCCGGGUGUGUAAGCGCAGCGAUGCGUUGAGCUAACCGGUACUAAUGAACCGUGAGGCUUAACCUUAC